UGGGUGUUUCUUUAUUUCAUAUCUUGAUGUUUUUAUUUCAGAGUGUCAAUUGGCUUGCCUUAAUGGAGCUGAGUGCGACAACGGAACGUGUAGAUGUCAACCUGGUUUCACAGGAGCUCAGUGUGAUCAAAUUGAUUGUUUGUUCCCUUGUUUGAACGGAGCUACAUGCGUAGAAGGCAUUUGUGAAUGUGCUUUAGGAUUUACCGGUAGAGAAUGCACGGAACUUGCUUGCAUUCUACCAUGUGUACAUGGUAUUUGCGUGGAAGGAGAGUGCCAAUGUUUUACAGCAUUUGAA